rnacentral:rRNA from 1 species
GUGGGGAAUAUUGGUCAAUGGGCGGGAGCCUGAACCAGCCAAGUCGCGUGAAGGAAGAAGGAUCUAUGGUUCGUAAACUUCUUUUGCAGGGGAAUAAAGUGCAGGACGUGUCCUGUUUUGUAUGUACCCUGAGAAUAAGGAUAGGCUAACUCCGUGCCAGCAGCCGCGGUAAUACGGAGGAUCCGAGCGUUAUCCGGAUUUAUUGGGUUUAAAGGGUGCGUAGGUGGUUUGAUAAGUCAGACGAGAAGGUUUGCUGCUUAACGGUAAAAAUGCCGUUGAAACUGUCGGACUUGAGUGUAAAUGAGGUAGGCGGAAUGCGGUGUGUAGCGGUGAAAUGCAUAGAUAUCACGCUGAACUCCGAUUGCGAAGGCAGCUUACUAAGCUACAACUGACGCUGAAGCACGAAAGCGUGGGGAUCAAACAGUAUUAGAUACCCUAGUAGUCC